rnacentral:lncRNA from 1 species
CGGACCUUAUUGUGAUACAUGUAGAAAUGCCAAUCAUGAGGGUAAGAUUUUAAUAUAUGUAACAAGAGGCAGUCAUAGACAUUUGUGUCAAUCGUUUUAUUUUUAUAUUGAUGAUUAAUUUAUACUAAACUAUCAUGUUUGGUAUCUGGUUUCAGUUUCUGUCAGUAUUGAUUUUAAGUUUAUGUUUAUUGGUUAUGGAACAAAGUGACGACGCGGAAGCAAGUCUCAUAAACAAUGUACUACACACAUGCAGCAUACCAAUAAAACAGUCCAAAUUCAAACAAGGAAAACAUAAAUUAUCCAUCAAAUAUAAAUUAUUGUCUAUUCUUUAAUGACACUCUCAUUUUUCUAAAAACACCUUUCACCCCCUUCCUAUUCUAUAUAUUUUUUUCUUAUGAAUUUUAUAUUUGCUAUUGUAAUCAUUAACUGUAUUUUGUUACAUAUUUAUUCGUUUGCUAUUCAGCAGGUAUUUAUAGCUUGUAAUUUUAUUUUCGAAUUUAGGGAGACGGAUUUAUAUAAGAGCACUGCUCUUGUUUCCUAAUCCUAAUUAUUGAAUCUUUUGUAUAUUUCGUAUUUACGUCUUUACCAUUGAAGCUAUAUUUAUAACGAUUUCGUUAAUAAAAUAUGUAUACACUAGACAACAUACAAUAAUAACUACUUCUGGGGUUUUCAAGGCCAAUAGGUCAUGCGCUAGGACCCGCGUCUCUGUUACUUUCAUGAUCAGUGAGAAGAAGCAAUACCACUUCUUAUUUUGAACUUUUUUUUAUCUAUCAAAUAAUUUCUAAAAUGAUCCACGAAUAUUAUGAACCCUGAUAUAUUAAUACUGCCAAAGGUUGACCUAUAAGUAGUACAGUACGUUUUCUAAGUGUCGCUCAACAUUUUUAUAUUACUGGCAAAUGCAAUAAUACAUCUAUACCGUCUUAAGUUUGUGAAAAAAUGCACCAAUUGCAUUUCCAUUGGUAAUUCAGUAUCAUAAUAUAAUCUAGCCAAUUUCAGUACCUGAUUUCAUAACAGAUCAGAUAUUUAUCAUGAAGAUUAUCAUUCUUUUACAAAAACACAUUAUUUUGUUUUAAACGUCAGCCAUAUUUGAAAGUCCUUUGUUCGUUUAAAAAAUUGUCACGUUUGAAUGUUCCUAUUAUAGGUCAGUAGUAAUUAAAAGUUUAUUUAUAGACAAGAAGAAUUUCCACUUUAAAAUCGAAAAUUCAAACCUUUUAAUAUAUGUAAGAAAUGGCUACAUUGAGGGUAAGACUGUAGUAUGGUGUAAAAGGGGGAAGGAUUGUGCCUGAUAUUCAUAUGAUGAAAUCAUAAUCUUUCAAUCAGUUUAAUUGAAGUCUGGAGCUGGCAUGUCAGUUAACUGCUAGUAGUCUGUUGUUAUUUAUGUAUUAUUGUCAUUUUGUUUAUUUUCUUUGGUUACAUCUUCUAAAAUCAGACUCGGACUUCUCUUGAAUUGAAUUUUAAAUGUGCGUAUUGUUAUGCAUUUACUUUUCUAAAUUGGCUAGAGGUAUAGGGGGAGGGUUGAGAUCUCAUAAACAUGUUUAACCCCGCCGCAUUUUUGCGCCUGUCCUAAGUCAGGAGCCUCUGGACUUUGUUAGUCUUGUAUUUUUUUAAUUUUAGUUUCUUGUGUACAAUUCGGAAAUUAGUAUGGCGUUCAUUAUCACUGACUAGUAUAUAUUUGUUUAGGGGCCAGCUGAAGGACGCCUCCGGGUGCAGGAAUGUCUCGCUACAUUGAAGACCUGUAAGUGACCUUCUGCUGUUGUUUUUUUCUAUGGUCGGGUUGUUGUCUCUUUGACACAUUCCCCAUGUUCAUUCUCAAUUUUAGUCAUAUUAAUUGGUUUCAACCUGCUAUUUAAGUUGAUAAGUGAACUAGAUUUUUAGGUUUUCUAUCAUGCCUGAGCCCUCGUUUACACGUAUAUUUAAUUCCAAUUGAAUUCGAAUCGAAUGCGAAUCGAAUUCGCUAAUCGCGUUCACACACUCUCCUUUUUAAAUUCGAAUUGGCUAAUUCGAAUUCGCUAAUUCGAAUUAGAAAUACGUUUUUGUUAAUACGAAUUAAAAGUUAACGUCGUUUAGACAGUAAAGCGAAUUUGACGCGCAUUGUAAUUCGAAUUAGAAUUGACUUUGUUUUUCUUACAAUUUUUAAAAUGAAAAGCAUGGAUGAACAGAAUAAAUACUAUUAUUAUCUCCUUUAUUUUACUUAUUACAGGGAGAUAACUCAGUAGACUGAACCAGAAAAACUAACGUUUUUAUAAGAACACAAACCGGAAGGAAUCUUUAAUUGAUUUACAAAACUCUAUCGACUAUCAUUAAAUGAAUAAUUAGUAAAACAAAAUCAUCAGGAACAUUACAAUUUUAUUUUGUAGAAUAUAAACUGGGAAAGCAUCAUUGCAUUAGGUAUACGAGUGCUCUUUCUUGGUUUCUUGGAUAUAAUUUCCAGAUUUAGCUACCAAUACCUCGGAUGGGUAUCAUACAUUGUGCGAUGUUUAGGUAAGUGUUACAAUUUAAAGAAGACCACCUAUAUCAAAAUUUUUCUUCAGAAGUUAAUGAAAAUAUUAAUGUUUCUGAAUUUAUUGCAAUAUCUUAAAUUAAGCAUAUAAGUUUCUGACACUUUCUUGACUCAUCUUCAAACAAAAACAACUCUUUUCCAUUUAAAAAAAAAAAUCCCGGAAAAAAUAUUGAGUUUUGAAGUUUUGAAACAUAAAUGUCUUUGAAAAACGGAAAGCAAUGAAUUAUUUCACAUGUUUUAAAGUUUGUUAGAGACAAAUUUAUAUAAUGUCAUUGAUUAUUGAUUUAUUUUUUUUUCUCUCAAUUCUAAAUUCUACGUUUGUUUUGAUUUUCUGCAAUGUCUAUCUGUUUUAAACGUUCUCAUAUAAUUCAAUGGUUUAUCAGGCGAAUCUGACCUUUGAAGACAUUAAGGCAAUGGGGGUUUGGGUGUAUUUAAAUAUAUUCAUUGGACUGCUAUAGUAAUAUUAAUGUGUUUUUUUUUUGUUUUUUUUUAACUCGAUGCGAUUAUUGAGAACUAUUGCUAAUAAUUUGCUAUUAUUUUAUAAAUUUUCAGGACUCUUAUCACUUUUGGUUAUGUAUGUCUUACCAUUCAGCAUUUUGCUGACCGCCUUCAGGAUUAUGCUGGGAACUUCAAACAUAAUUAUAGCAUGGCUUGUAACAUCGUUGUUUAUAAAGUGUGGGGAAACGCCAGAAUAUCCUGUGCAUAUUUUAAUCAUUUUAAAACUUGUGCAAAUUAGUUUAAUCAUGUAUUAUUAUUGGUUUAACGAGGUUAACACACUCUAUCGGUUCGCAGUGUAUUUUUACCUCUUUUUCAUCGGAGGAACAGUGUUACAAAUUUCACCUGAUUGGAUUUUCAACGCCUUAAUUAUAGUCACAGUUUUGUGUCUUGUUUUGUUAUGUCUCCAUGUGUUUGAGAACGGAAUCUUGACUCCUGAACAGGAAAGGCAAAUAGAUCUUUACUUCCAACGUUUGGAAGGAUUUGAAUUUGAUGGCAAUAUAAAUAUAUUUCAGGGAAAGGAGUUUUCUAUUUAUUCUAUAGGUUUGUGUACUGUAUGCCUAAUUAACAACUGGCUCUUGGUUGACAUUGAUCAAGAUAUUAACAAAACUAAAUUGGUGAUUUAUACCACACUCGGCAUGUAUUGCUGUUCUGUAAUCUCUGUUUUAGCAUUUUCUACAAUUUUAAUUGAAAUUUGUAAACUUAUGUUGAAGUUCUGCUAUUUCAUUGUAAAAGGGAUGUAUGAAUACAGACAAGAAGAGCUCGGCUUACUUAUAAUGUUCAUCGUAAACGUAUAUCUUUGUACAACAGACAUGCUCUUCUUUGACAUGAAGCCGUUUGAUCGUGGUAUCUUUUUGUCCAGAAGAAUUGUCUUUCUUGCAGUUUGUUCGGUAGAACUUUGUUCAAUUAUUGUAGAACUAGCGAGUGCGGACGUGGUAGCAAGGCAACCAUCAGGAUUCAACACCCUGAGAGUUAUCGGCGUACAUAUCGUAUUUUGUAUUGGAUAUGUGGCAAUAUUAUACGGACUUUUAGUCCAGUAUUCCAUGAACGAUUUGGGGAUUUUUCUUACAACAGCUUAUUCCGUUUGUGGUUUGAUAAGAGCAUUUGCCUCGCUUUUUAUAUUUUGUCUCUAUAAAAUUGAUGAAAUUCGCCAGGAAUUCUGGGAAAACUUUGAUGAUGUGAUAUUUUACACACGCAUGACUUUGUCAACGAUUCUUAUAGUAAUUUUAAUGCCUACAGCUUGUGUCGGUGUUUGGACAAUAUUUUAUGGAUUCUACACAUGGUUUGAUUUAUAUCGACUACUAGCAAUGUGCUUUGUCCAUAUAUUCUCCGGUAUUAACGUUUUAUUAAAUACUAUGCGACAGAGGAAAAUGGUAUUUGCGUAUACUACUAUAUUAGAAGAUGCAUCAAAUUAUCAGCUAAACAGGAAUAACUGCAGUAUCUGUUUGCAUGGAAUGAUGAAAGGAAAAGUUACCCGGUGUGGUCAUGUAUUUCACGAGACAUGCAUACGAAAGUGGUUAAAUACGAGACUGGUGUGUCCAAUGUGUAACACGUCUAUUGUAAUACAUGUACAAUAAACUUUGCUUAUACAUUCCUACUUUAUUGGAAAACUUAUAAUACUUAUGGAAUUCUCAUUACCUACACGAAGACUUUUCUGCAAACGAUCAAAAUGGUACUUUAGAACACAGUUUUAAUACACACAAACUCACCAGAGGGAAUACCUAGGUAUAGAAAAAGGACAGCUUAUCUGGCUUUCGAAAAACGAACCUCUGUUUUUCCUUCUUCACAUUCAGAUGAUUUGAUACCACGUUUUGUUAAACAUAAUGAAUGAAAUGCGUAAAGCGAAUUUACCUGUAGUAAAUGCUUGAUUAUUGUUAAACGUCCAGAAAGCAAUAUUUCAGUUUUAUUUAAGACGUCAACCAGUGUGAAUGCAAUGAAUAAAAACGGUAAAAUUGGAUGAGUAAAUGGUCGAUAAUGUUAACUGAUACUAACAAUUUGAAAUUGCAAGUAGUCAACUGCGGAUCACUCAUAAAGAGCUUUGUUACAAGAGGAGUUCAUCAACAUAGAGAGAAUAUUGCAUUAUCCCGACACAAGACCUCUAAUUAUCUGCCAAAUGGUCGAUGGUUUUCGCUGGGCACUUCACCAAACUCAAAUGCAGUUCAAUGUAUGUUCAAUGCAAAAUAUAAAAAAAGGUUUUUUUUUCACCAAUUAAAACUGACUACCACGAAAUUCACACAAUUGCUGAAAGUGGCAUUAUACACCGACCAAUCAAAAAAAUAGUUAGUCCUUUUCUUUGACAAACUGUCAAACAUAUUAUGCGAUACAUGCUCAAAAUCAUGUUUGUUACUUUUAACUUUCAAUUCUUUGUCAUAUAAAUAUGUAGAUUAG